GGCGGCGAGUGGCGGACGGGUGAGUAAUAUAUCGGAACGUGCCCAGUAUCGGGGGAUAACUACUCAAAAGAGUGGCUAAUACCGCAUACGCCCUACGGGGGAAAGGGGGGGAUCGCAAGACCUCUCACUAUUGGAGCGGCCGAUAUCUGGAUUAGCUAGUUGGUGGGGUAAAGGCUCACCAAGGCAACAGAUCCGUAGCUGGUUUGAGAGGACAGACCAGCCACACUGGGACUGAAACACGGCCCAAACUCCUACGGAAGGCAGCAGUGGGGAAUUUUGGACAAUGGGGGAAACCCUGAUCCAGCCAUCCCGCGUGUAUGAUGAAGGCCUUCGGGUUGUAAAGUACUUUUGGCAGAGAAGAAAAGGUACCUCCUAAUACGAGGUACUGCUGACGGUAUCUGCAUAAUAAGCACCGGCUAACUACGUGCCAGCAGCCGCGGUAAUACAUAUGGUGCACGCGUUAAUCUGAAUUACUGGGCGUAAAGCGUGUGUAGGCGGUUCGGAAAGAAAGAUGUGAAAUCCCAGGGCUCAACCUUGGAACUGCAUUUUUAACUGCCAAGCUAAAGUAUGUCAUAGGGGGGUAGAAUUCCACGUGUAGCAGUGAAAUGCGUAGAUAUGUGGAGGAAUACCGAUGGCGAAGGCAGCCCCCUGGGAUAAUACUGACGCUCAGACACGAAAGCGUGGGGAGCAAACAGGAUUAGAUACCCUGGUAGUCCACGCCCUAAACGAUGUCAACUAGCUGUUGGGGCCGUUAGGCCUUAAUAUCGCACCUAACGCGUGAAGUUGACCGCCUGGGGAGUACGGUCGCAAGAUUAAAACUCAAAGGAAUUGACGGGGACCCGCACAAACGGUGGAUGAUGUGGAUUAAUUCCAUGCAACGCUG
rnacentral:rRNA from 1 species